CCUACGGGAGGCAGCAGUGAGGAAUAUUGGUCAAUGGGCGGGAGCCUGAACCAGCCAAGUCGCGUGAGGGAAGACGGUCCUAUGGAUUGUAAACCUCUUUAGGCGGGGAGCAAUGCCGGGCACGUGUGCCCGGAGGGAGAGUACCCGCAGAAUAAGCAUCGGCUAACUCCGUGCCAGCAGCCGCGGUAAUACGGAGGAUGCGAGCGUCAUCCGGAUUUAUGGGGGUAAAAGGGUGCGUAGGCGGAUUUUUAAGUCGGCGGUAAAAUGUCCGGGCUCAACACGGGCCGGCCGUUGAAACUGGGGAUCUUGAGUGGGCGAGAAGAAUGCGGAAUGCGUGGGGUAGCGGUGAAAUGCAUAGAUAUCGCGCAGAACUCCGAUUGCGAAGGCAGCAUCCCGGCGCCCGACUGACGCUGAGGCACGAAAGCGUGGGGAUCGAACAGGAUUAGAUACCCUUGUAGUC
rnacentral:rRNA from 1 species